UACGGAGGGGGCUAGCGUUGUUCGGAAUUACUGGGCGUAAAGAGCGUGUAGGCGGUCCGGUAAGUCCGCUGUGAAAGUCGGGGGCUCAACCCUCGAAUGCCGGUGGAUACUGUCGGGCUAGAGUACGGAAGAGGCGAGUGGAAUUCCUGGUGUAGCGGUGAAAUGCGCAGAUAUCAGGAGGAACACCGGUGGCGAAGGCGGGUCUCUGGGCCGAUACUGACGCUGAGGAGCGAAAGCGUGGGGAGCGAACAGG
rnacentral:rRNA from 1 species